UGAGGAAUAUUGGUCAAUCGACGCAAGUCUGAACCAGCCAAGUAGCGUGCAGGAUGACGGCCCUAUGGGUUGUAAACUGCUUUUAUAUGGGGAUAAAGUGGGGAACGUGUUCCCUUUUGCAGGUACCAUAUGAAUAAGGACCGGCUAAUUCCGUGCCAGCAGCCGCGGUAAUACGUAGGUGGCAAGCGUUGUCCGGAAUUAUUGGGCGGAAAGCGCGCGAAGGUGGUUUAGAAAGUCUGAUGUGAAAGCCCACGGCUCAACCGUGGAGGGUCAUUGGAAAAUAAUAAACUUGAGUGGAGGAGAGAAAAGUGGAAUUCCUAGUGUAGCGGUGAAAUGCGUAGAGAUUAGGAGGAACACCGGUGGCGAGAGAGGCUUUUUGGCCUGCAACUGACACUGAGGCGCGAAAGCGUGGGGAGCAAACAGG
rnacentral:rRNA from 1 species